rnacentral:ncRNA from 1 species
GGCAGCAGGGGACGCGAUGAUCCCCGAGCCGUCAUGAGUCGGUCGCCGAGGCUGACAGGGUGCCAGCGGGCUCGGGGGGAGCGAGCGGCGAGACCGACCCCAGGACCG